GAAACCACCCCUGAUGUGAGGGAUUUCCUAGGAUACAUGUGAGGGAUUUUAAAUAGUGAGUGCUUGUGGGGAAAAUAUCAAAAAAGGAAAGCGUGUAGCGAACUUCACGUUUAUUACUAUCACACUGUGUAAAUGUCAUUGAAGUAUAUUUUGUCAUAAAAAGGAUGGACAGGAAAUUAAUGGAUUUUAGAUUUAGAUUGCUUGGAAGUCAGUAUUUUAUUUACUUAUCACUGCUAUGCUGGAUCGUUCCAUUGGAGAAAAAUUGACUGGUUUUUUUCCCCCUAAAUCAUGUAUGGUUUUUAAAAUGUACACGCUAAGAUAUUUGCUGCUAUUUUUAAAUUCAUCUUAGAGAAGAAGGAAAGAAAAUGACACAUUGGAGAAUAGACAAAUCUGUCUUUUUAUUCUACAAAUGUUUGCACCGGACUGUUUUUAUUUCAGUUUAUGCUUUAAAAAAAGUUGCCAUGGAAUUUCACAUUUAAAUGCAUCGUUGCCCAUCAUCAGGCAGAGUUCAUGCAAUUACAGAAACAGCAAGAAGUAAGCUCAGUAGAAACUUCUGAAUAUGUCCGGUGAACGUGCAACAACCUGUCAAGAUACUUUUGGGGAAAACUAUGUUAAACUCAACAUAGUUUGUGUGAUCAGAGGACAUUAAAGAAUAGUGGGAGGCAUCAGGCUCAGUUUCGACUCAGUCGGCCUGAGAGAAACAUCUCUAGCAGAUCUGGCUUUCAGCCUUUGUCUGUUCGAUUAUCAACUUGAAGUUGUAUCCUAGCACCUAUGGCCUGCACCAUUGAAGGCAAAUAUUAGAAAACAUUUCUGGAAAAGAAAAUGCUAACUAUUAACUGAACAGUCAAUUCCUGCUAAUCAAGUUAAUAAAAUAUUAUAGUUGC